rnacentral:rRNA from 1 species
CCUACGGGCGGCUGCAGUGGGGAAUAUUGCACAAUGGGGGAAACCCUGAUGCAGCAACGCCGCGUGGGUGAAGAAGUACUUCGUUAUGUAAAGCUCUAUCAUCAGGGAAGAAAAUGACGGUGACUGAGUGAGCAGCCCCGGCUAACUACGUGCCAGCAGCCGCGGGAAUACGUAGGGGGCAAGCGUUAUCCGGAUUUACUGGGUGGAAAGGGAGCGCAGACGGCAGGGCAAGUCUGGAGUGAAACGCAUGGGCUCAACCAAUGCAUUGCUUUGGAAACUGGAGGACUGGAGAGCAGGAGAGGGGGGUGGAACUCCAUGUGUAGCGGUAAAAUGCGUAGAUAUAUGGAAGAACACCAGUGGCGAAGGCGGCUGCCUGGCCUGUUGCUGACGCUGAGGCACGAAAGCGUGGGGAGCAAAUAGGAUUAGAUACCCCAGUAGUC